GGAGGGUGCAAGCGUUAAUCGGAAUUACUGGGCGUAAAGCGUGCGUAGGUGGUUUGUUAAGUCAGAUGUGAAAGCCCCAGGCUUAACUUGGGAACUGCAUUUGAAACUGGCAAACUAGAGUAUAGGAGAGGAAAGUGGAAUUUCUGGUGUAGCGGUGGAAUGCGUAGAUAUCAGAAAGAACAUCAAUGGCGAAGGCAGUUUUCUGGACUAAUACUGACACUGAGGUACGAAAGCGUGGGUAGCAAACAGGGAUUAGAUACCCUGGUAGUCCACGCCGUAAACGAUGAUAACUAGCCCGUUAGGGGGGAUACCCUUUAGUGGCGAAGCUAACGCGUUAAGUUGUCCGCCUGGGGAGUACGACCGCAAGGUUA
rnacentral:rRNA from 1 species